AACGAACGCUGGCGGCAUGCCUAACACAUGCAAGUCGAACGAGACCGUCGGGUCUAGUGGCGCAUGGGUGCGUAACGCGUGGGAACCUGCCCGUAGGUUCGGAAUAACUCCCCGAAAGGGGUGCUAAUACCGGAUAAUGUCUUCGGACCAAAGAUUUAUCGCCUUUGGAUGGGCCCGCGUUGGAUUAGCUAGUUGGUAGGGUAAAAGCCUACCAAGGCGACGAUCCAUAGCUGGUCUGAGAGGAUGAUCAGCCACGCUGGGACUGAGACACGGCCCAGACUCCUACGGGAGGCAGCAGUGGGGAAUAUUGGACAAGGGGCGAAAGCCUGAUCCAGCAAUGCCGCGUGAGUGAUGAAGGCCUUAGGGUUGUAAAGCUCUUUUACCCGGGAUGAUAAUGACAGUACCGGGAGAAUAAGCUCCGGCUAACUCCGUG
rnacentral:rRNA from 1 species